GAAAAUAAAAAAAAACUCGAUCUUGCAAACACCCAUUGUGUUCUUCAUCGGAUCGGAUCGGAUCAUAAACUACUCAGGCUCUGCGAUUCUUGUUUGCACUUGGACCCUCUCCUCGAAUUUCUAUGGCGAAGAAGAAGAAAUCUAGGGUUCCUAUGGAAGAAGAGGAGGAAGAGCAAGUUGAAACUCCGAGUGAAUCUUACGCCACUCAGAACAGCCUCUACGAGGUUCUUGGAGUGGAGAGGACAGCUUCUCAGCAGGAAAUAAAGAAGGCAUACUAUAAGUUGGCGCUUCGCCUGCAUCCUGAUAAGAACCCUGGAGAUGAGGAAGCCAAAGAGAAAUUUCAGCAGUUGCAAAAGGUUAUGUCCAUUCUUGGGGAUGAGGAGAAGCGUGCAGUUUAUGAUCAAACAGGCUGCAUUGAUGAUGCUGACCUUGCAGGGGACGUUGUUCGGAAUCUUCAUGAGUUUUUCAGAACGAUGUACAAAAAGGUCACUGAAGCUGAUAUAGAUGAAUUUGAAGCAAAUUACCGAGGAUCUGAAUCAGAGAAGAAGGAUUUGAUUGAUUUGUUUAAGAAAUUCAAGGGGAAUAUGAACAGGAUGUUCUGUUCUAUGCUUUGUUCGGAUCCCAAGCUUGAUUCGCACAGAUUCAAGGAUAUUUUGGAUGAGGCUAUAGCUACUGGGGAACUGAAAGUAACGAAGGCCUACGAGAAAUGGGCACGGAAAAUAUCCGAAACAAAGCAACCUACCAGCCCUGUGAGGAAGAGAGUGAAAUCCAAUAAAGAGUCAGAAACAGAUCUGUAUGCAGUAAUAUCUCAGAGAAGGAAUGAGAGGAAAGAUCGAUUUGAUUCCAUGUUCUCAUCUUUGGUUUCUAAAUAUGGGGGAGGCAAUUUGUCAGAACCGACUGAGGAAGAAUUCGAGGCUGCCCAGAAGAAGCUAGAGAGCCGAAAGUCGUCCAAAAAAUCCAAGAGGAAGAGGAAGAGAAAAGAAGAGAGAAAUUCAUUAUGGUUCUGAAAGCUUAAUGGCUGGAAAUGAAUCUGUCCUCUCAGGUUGAACUAGCACAUCGAAUUUCAGAAACAUGAGAUGGGCUAAGAGCCAGAGCUUAGCUAGUAUUACAACUCAGUGUCAGAUUUAGAAAGCCUGGAUUAUCUGUUUCUUAAUGGGAUAGGAAAGGAGUGGAGAUUCAAACCACUCCGAUCUUUUGGUGGAGAACAUGUCUUAACUUAUCGAAUUAUCUUCAAGUUGAAGACUGUUACCUAGAACGGCUCCAAAAAGACUAAAGUCUGAGCAUCACAACUAAGAAGGGAAUGGAAAACUGACCUCCAUCGCGCAGCUGG